UAUAAACCCUACCACACGUGUAAUUUUCCGUUGGAUAAAUUUUGUCUAUCAUAUUCUAUCAAGAAACCUAUGGCAUGUUCUCGUGUCUCAGUUUUAAAUAAGUCCCAUAGUACUGAUGGAUCCUUGGUCAUUUUGUAGAUCAUAAUUGAUCUGUUGUUUAGACGCAUGCUCAAUAACCCAUAAACAUCAGUAGUCAGUGUAUAAUAAUAGAUUCAGAUUAUGUGUGUAGACUUUACAUUCACUCUGGAUGUUAAUGACUAGCAGUAUCAUUUUCCUUACAAUUAACAUUGGACUGGAUAGAGAUGAAGUUUUAGUGGACUUAAGUGUUCUUACAUAACAACGACCUAUAAAUCGAAUCUUCUUAGGAGUGUGUAAGAAUUUAAAUAGAUGUAUGGAAUUUACGACGUCUAAAAAUAGAACUAUUAUUGCUAUCAAUAAAGAUGUGAAGAUCUUCUCUGGAUUAUGAUUGUAUGUGCAGAAUACUUUGUGUAGUUUAUCUUUUUCCAUGGAACAGUUAAUAAUUAAAAGUUUUUUUUCUUCCCAGAUAAUUUAUAUGGUUAAACAAUUUCAUCAAUUCAUCUAUAUUACUUUUCAUUUUAUCUUGCAUAUAAAAUAAAAAUAUAUUUACAAUCA